AAUAGCUGCUUGAUCCAAGGAGACAUCUGACUGCUAUUUUGGGGUCAAGAAGCAAUUUUUUCCCUAGUUUGUUGCAAAAUAGGAAGCGCUUCAGACUAGGUUUUUUGCCUUCUUUUGGGUCAACAUCAAAAACAUAUGUGAGGAAGGCUGAACUUGAUGGAUGCAAGUCUCUUUUCAGCUAUGUAACUAGACAAGACUUAGUGAAGGGAAGAGCAAAUGUGUAUUUUAUUAAAAGGGGUACCGGUUUAUAUAGGAAAACACGGGGGAGGAUAAAACAUAACCAAGAACAGUGACAGGACUUAAUAAAUGACUGAUAACAGUGUAACGGAUCACCUGGCACCCCAACUGGGUACCUCCGUUGAAGGAUGCUCCUAGCACUUCCUGAGGACUCCAAGCACUGCAGCAGACACCAAAACCACCGAACCGUAGGAGCAUAUGAAUGCUCUCAAGCAUAUGAAUGUUGUAUACAGCUGCAUAGGAAAACCAUGCGAAUAGGUUUACACUCCUAGCAGUCAAACUGGAACAGCAUACAAUAAAUCCUCCCCCAAUAAUGAGACGACACUUCACUUUGAGGGUUAAGCAGGAACUGACUGUACUGGCA